GGAAGAGCUGUGGCUCAGUUGUACAGUAUCUGCUUUGCGUGCAGAAGUUCCCAGGUUUGGUCCCUGGCACAUCCA
rnacentral:tRNA from 1 species